rnacentral:rRNA from 1 species
AGAGUUUGAUCCUGGCUCAGAAUGAACGUUGGCGGCGUGGAUUAGGCAUGCAAGUCGAGCGAGGAGAUUUGUAGCAAUAUGAAUCAUUCGAGCGGCGUAAGGGGCAGUAAUACCUGGGAACGUACCCUGAGGUUGGGGAUAGCUGCUAGAAAUGGCGAGUAAUACCCGAUGAUCUCGAGAGAGCAAAGGCUUGCCGCCUUGGGAGCGGCCCAGGCGAUAUUAGCUAGUUGGUGAGGUAACGGCUUACCAAGGCAAAGAUGUCUAGCGGGUGUGAGAGCACGACCCGCGCCACUGGCACUGAGACACUGGCCAGACACCUACGGGUGGCUGCAGUCGAGAAUCUUCGGCAAUGAGCGCAAGCUUGACCGAGCGACGCCGCGUGCGGGAUGAAGGCCUUCGGGUUGUAAACCGCUUUGGUCCGAAAGAAAGGGUAAAACUUGAUCGAUCGGAGAAACAAGGACGGGCUAAGUUCGUGCCAGCAGCCGCGGUAAGACGAACCGUCCAAACGUUAUUCGGAAUCACUGGGCUUAAAGGGCGCGUAGGCGGCCGAGCGGGUCGUGGGUGAAAUCCUCCAGCUUAACUGGAGAACUGCUGACGAUACCACUGCGGCUCGAGGAAGGAAGGGGCAAUCGGAACUGUCGGUGGAGCGGUGAAAUGCGUUGAUAUCGACAGGAACGCCGGUGGCGAAAGCGGAUUGCUGGUCCUUUUCUGACGCUGAGGCGCGAAAGCCAGGGGAGCAAACGGGAUUAGAUACCCCGGUAGUCC